CACAGCCUGAAGCUGGAAGGCGGAGGAGCAAAAGCAUACACACUUCAGUCCCAGCAGGAUGCAGGCAGGAGAACAAAGCCUGGAAAGUAGGCACUGCCAAGCAGUGAACUCUGGGCCCAGCCACCAGGAGGUCAGGAUGACCAGCCUCCUGAAGGAGGCUCAGGGCAGGUGAAUGACUUGCCCAUUGUCUCUUGGCUUACUGGGCAGUCAGGAUCUGAAUCAGGCCUUCCACUCCAAGAGUAAGGCUCUUGGAGUGAGCAGCCCCACCUUCAAGAAGGCUUCGAGUCAGCACGCCAUCGCCAUCUGUACCCUGUUCUUGGGGGUAAAGGAGGAGCCUAAAGUCUUGGGUUCUUGUUUGGAUACAGGACCAGCUGUGUGACCCUGGGCUGAUCUGUAUUCUCUCUGAACCCUACCUGAAUGAGGGCUUCUUUCUCCAGCAUUCAGAGAAAGGGUACCAAUGAGAGGAUGAGAGGCUGGGUCUUUCUGCCUCUUGGAUGCUGAGACCUUGUUGGGAACUCCAGAGAGUGAUCCUGCUGUUAAGGCGACAGCCUAGGCCCGCAGGGGAAGGUGGAGAGGGAGUGAGUAAAGAUUUUAAAUUGAGUCAUUUGUUUCACAGUGUGGAGCAUCUGCUAAGACUCUAGGUGCCCGGCUUCGGCAGGGCCCAGGUAAUUUCCUAACACACGUGGAUUUGAAGGGGAACCGGGAGACCAAAGCCUGGGCGUCUGCAAAGUCCACACAGCUUUCUCCUCUCCUGCAGCUCACCGUCUAAAAGUGGAAGACACAAUGAAGGAACGAAUGAGACAUUUUAAAGAUACAGACAAUCAAAGGGGUAGGGAAAAGGAUGCACGGACAGUUUUAAGGGUGGUGUGCGAGACAGAGGGGCUUCGGGAGCACCAGGGCGAGGCCCCAGCUGUGGAACUGUGUGAGGAUCCCGAUAAAGGCGAAUUCUGGGCCAGGCGUUACCAUUACCUUCAUUAUCCUGAGUCCUGACUCCUCGGCUCGCAACCUCUUUGUGCCGCAGUUUCCUUCGCCGGUGACCCCAGUUCCUGCUGCACGAAGGGCAGAAUGAGACAAGGUUCAAGGACUAGGGUCCCAACGGAAGCGCGAACCCC